CCUACGGGAGGCAGCAGUGGGGAAUAUUGGGCAAUGGGCGCAAGCCUGACCCAGCAACGCCGCGUGAAGGAAGAAGGCUUUCGGGUUGUAAACUUCUUUUCUGAGGGACGAAGAAAGUGACGGUACCUCAGGAAUAAGCCACGGCUAACUACGUGCCAGCAGCCGCGGUAAUACGUAGGUGGCAAGCGGUAUCCGGAUUGAUUGGGUGUAAAGGGCGUGUAGGCGGGAAAGCAAGUCAGCGGUGAAAACUCAGGGUUCAACCCUGGGCCGGCAUUUGAAACUGUUUUUCUUGAGUGCUGGAGAGGCAAUCGGAAUUCCUAGUGUAGCGGUGAAAGGCGUAGAUAUUAGGAGGAACACCGGUGGCGAAGGCGGCUUACUGGACUGUAACUGACGUUGAGGCUCGAAAGCGUGGGGAGCAAACAGGAUUAGAUACCCUGGUAGUC
rnacentral:rRNA from 1 species